GGGCCUGGAUAACUCAGUUGGAUAGAGCAUGGUGCUGAUGACGCCUAGGUUGCAGAUUCGAUUCCUGUAUGGCCCU